rnacentral:rRNA from 1 species
GGUGAACGCUGGCGGCGUGCCUAACACAUGCAAGUCGAUCGGAGCAGCAAUGCUUAGAGGCGAACGGGUGAGGAAAACGUAGUAACCAACCCUUUAGACUGGGAUAGCCACUGGAAACGGUGGGUAAUACCGGAUAAGCUCGAGAGAGGAAAGGCAGAGAAGCGCUAAAGGACGGAACUGCGCCCCAUCAGAUAGUUGGUGAGGUAAAGGCUUACCAAGUCAAAGACGGGAAACCGACGUGAGAGCGUGUACGGUCACAAGGGCACUGAGAGACGGGCCCUACUCCUACGGGAGGCAGCAGUGGGGAAUAUUGGACAAUGGGCGCAAGCCUGAUCCAGCCAUGCCGCGUGAGUGAUGAAGGCCCUAGGGUUGUAAAGCUCUUUUGUGCGGGAAGAUAAUGACGGUACCGCAAGGAAUAAGCCCCGGCUAACUUCGUG